UACAGAGGGUGCGAGCGUUAAUCGGAAUUACUGGGCGUAAGCGUGCGUAGACGGUUUCGUAAGUCGGGUGUGAAAGCCCCGGGCUCAACCUGGGAAUUGCAUUCGAGACUGCGUAGCUAGGGUGCGGAAGAGGGAAGCGGGAAUUUCCGGUGUAGCGGUGAAAUGCGUAGAUAUCGGGAAGGAACAUCAGUGGCGAAAGCGGCUUCCUGGUCCAGCACCGACGUU
rnacentral:rRNA from 1 species